GAGGAAGAUCCAUAUGCUUCAUGGAUCAGAAUAUGGAUGAUAUAUCAUCAGAACAUGAAGUAUGGUACGUUUCCAUCAAAACAUGAAUCUCUCCAGUAUAUUUCAUGUUCUUCAUGUAACCUCUCUACAUCCUAAUGAUCAAAGGAAGUUUGUAAGCCUCACACUUUUUAUAGAUUGUUGUGAGUUUGCUUUUAUAUUAUAAGCAUUUUCCCUAUCACUUGUUGUUGAGAACCAGAGAUUCUCUGAUAUACUGUAUCUUUGUGAUUCUAUUAAGGGAAACUGAAUUUUUAUGUCUUUUGUUGUCUCCGAAAGACUAUGCUUAUAAUACUUUUGGAAUCGUUUAGAUGAGACCAUUUUUCCGUCGUUAGGGGGAGAAUUGGGGUUAACGACGUGAAUGAUUAUGGAAUAUAUUGUCUCAUCAACGCAUGAUUGUACUACCUGAUAUAUGUAACAGGUAUGAAAGAUUAAUGCAAAUUCUGAAAAUUGCAAAACACUGCAUAUAUUAAAGGCUCAUAAAGAGUAACUCAUGGGUAUGACAGUGUGAAUUAAAUGCACGCCAAAUGCGUAGCAAAUAGAGUGGAUUGAGGUUCCAAAAAGGACAAUCCAUCAACAUGUCAAUAUGAUGCACGUUGAGUGCGUAGCAAAUUGUUUGAAUUUAUGUCCCAGAAAGACAAUCCAUUGACAUGAUAAAAUUAGUCUGUGGCAUGCCUAAAGCAUGACAGAUAUAUGUGUUCCAAAUGUUCCAACUCCUGGAAUGGAGAUUAUUCACGCCCUAUUUUAAACACUCCAGAGGAGAUUAUGAUCCACAUUCUCACAUAAUUCAUCUUAUAAGAGAUGUAUGUUUAGAAGGAGACAAUGAAAGUCCCUAAAAUUGCCUUGGGUACCCGGGAAAAGGCAAAGAAAUGCUUAUUGAUGCAUGCGCAUGCACAUAAGAAUGGAAUAUAUCCUCCACUCACUACGGAAAAGGGUUUUCUCUCCAGAGAAAUAGUCAUGAAGAUAUCAGGGGGAGACAUUCAUCUGACUGAAGCAUCCAUAAAUUGAAG